CGCCCUUAGAGUUUGAUCAUGGCUCAGAUUGAACGCUGGCGGCAGGCUUAACACAUGCAAGUCGAACGGUAAAGUAGCUUGCUACUUACGAGUGGCGGACGGGUGAGUAACGUAUGGGAAUUUACCGAAUGGAGGGGGACAACAGUUGGAAACGGCUGCUAAUACCGCAUAACGUCGAGAGACCAAAGGGUUUCGACUUGCCAUUUGAUGAGCCCAUAUGAGAUUAGCUAGUUGGUGUGGUAAUGGCUCACCAAGGCGACGAUCCCUAGCUGGUUUGAGAGGAUGACCAGCCACACUGGGACUGAGACACGGCCCAGACUCCUACGGGAGGCAGCGGGGGGGAAUAUUGCACAAUGGGGGGAACCCUGAUGCAGCCAUGCCGCGUGUAUGAAGAAGGCCUUGGGGUUGUAGAGUACUUUCGUGGGAG
rnacentral:rRNA from 1 species